rnacentral:sRNA from 1 species
UUGACAGCUGUAGGAACUGAAGUCCUCACUUCUCAGCAGAUUAGGUACAGGACCAAGAGCAGCAGGCAGGGCAAGCUUCCCCCACACUGCACAGCCAGGUUGUCUAAAUGUCAUUCUAGAGGAGCGAGCUCUACAAAAUGAAGAAAAUCCAAGUCCUUACUCCCCCUGCUGAGUCUUACAAAC